CAAUGAGGAGAACUCCCGUCUCCCGUGAAACGCGUUCAAUAAACUCCCUGGUGCCGUCACCCCGGUAAUUCUUUCCCAUCGCAACUGGAAGAGUCCUCUCGAUCCAUUCAUCUCCAGCGCCAGUAGGGGUAUCUCCAAGGUCAACUGCAGCGUGGAAGUAGUGUAGAUAUUGCUCACGGCCAGGUGGGUCGCGACCCCCAACGGCAGAGCCAAAGGUACAUGUUCGCGGAUAGCCACCCAAAUACCCUUCUGGGAAAAGAAGGAUGUGGGCUCCGCGGGAAGCAGCAAAGUGAGUAGAGUACUCUAAUGCUUGCAGAGUAUCAGCCAGGGUGUCGCGAGUGUGCGAUUGGGAGACCGCGACGAUUAAUCUUUGCGGCAUGAUUACCUACGGGGCCCAGGUUGCUCAGCAGGCAGAGU
rnacentral:sRNA from 2 species